rnacentral:rRNA from 1 species
CUUUCCCUCUUUCUUCAGGCCUAACACAUGCAAGUCGAGCGGAUGAAGGGAGCUUGCUCCUGGAUUCAGCGGCGGACGGGUGAGUAAUGCCUAGGAAUCUGCCUGGUAGUGGGGGAUAACGUCCGGAAACGGGCGCUAAUACCGCAUACGUCCUGAGGGAGAAAGUGGGGGAUCUUCGGACCUCACGCUAUCAGAUGAGCCUAGGUCGGAUUAGCUAGUUGGUGGGGUAAAGGCCUACCAAGGCGACGAUCCGUAACUGGUCUGAGAGGAUGAUCAGUCACACUGGAACUGAGACACGGUCCAGACCCCUACGGGAGGCAGCAGUGGGGAAUAUUGGACAAUGGGCGAAAGCCUGAUCCAGCCAUGCCGCGUGUGUGAAGAAGGUCUUCGGAUUGUAAAGCACUUUAAGUUGGGAGGAAGGGCAGUAAGUUAAUACCUUGCUGUUUUGACGUUACCAACAGAAUAAGCACCGGCUAACUUCGUG